AGAGUUUGAUUCUGGCUCAGAACGAACGCUGGCAGCGUGGAUUAGGCAUGCAAGUCGAACGAGAAUCUGUGGUUUCAAUCCUUCGGGAGAGAAACUGCAGAGGAGAGUGGCGAAAGGGUGAGUAUCGCGUGGGCAAUCUGCCCCCAAGUUGGGGAUAACCCGGCGAAAGCUGGGCUAAUACCGAAUGUGGUCUCUGCUCGCAUGAGGAGAUGACCAAAGAUGGGGAUUCCGCUUUGCGGAACCUGUUGCUUGGUGAGGAGCCCGCGUCCUAUCAGCUUGUUGGUGAGGUAACGGCUCACCAAGGCUUACGGGUAGCUGGUCUGAGAGGAUGGUCAGCCACACUGGGACUGAGACACUGCCCAGACUCCUACGGGAGGCUGCAGUCGAGGAUCAUUCGCAAUGCGCGAAAGCGUGACGAUGCGACGCUGCGUGGAGGAUGACGGCCUUAGGGUUGUAAACUCCUGUUGUCCGGGAGCAAUGGUGCGAAGGUGAAUACCCUUCGUAUUUGAUAGUACCGGAAGAGGAAGCCACGGCUAACUCUGUGCCAGCAGCCGCGGUAAUACAGAGGUGGCAAGCGUUGUUCGGAUUUACUGGGCGUAAAGGGUGCGUAGGUGGUCCUGUAUGUCGGAUGUGAAAUCUCGCCGCUCAACGGCGAAACUGCAUUCGAAACUGCAGGACUAGAGUGCAGGAGAGGAAAGCGGAAUUCUUGGUGUAGCGGUGGAAUGCGUUGAUAUCAAGAAGAACACCGGUGGCGAAGGCGGCUUUCUGGAAUGCUACUGACACUGAGGCACGAAAGUUGGGGUAGCGAACAGGAUUAGAUACCCUGGUAGUCCCAACCGUAAACGGUGUGCACUUGGUGUAGGGGGAUUUGACCCCCCCUGUGCCGGAGCUAACGCGUUAAGUGCACCGCCUGGGGAGUACGGCCGCAAGGCUAAAACUCAAAGAAAUUGACGGGGGCCCGCACAAGCGGAGGAGCAUGUGGCUUAAUUCGAUGCAACGCGAAGAACCUUACCAGGGCUUGACAUGCAGCUGCAAGCCCCCUGAAAGGGGGGCCGCCUUCGAGGGUGCUGCACAGGUGCUGCAUGGCUGUCGUCAGUUCGUGCCGUGAGGUUUUGGGUUAAGUCCCGCAACGAACGCAACCCCUGUGUCUAGUUGCCACCGCAGGUGAUGAAUCUGCGAGCACUCUAGACAGACUGCCCGUGUAAGCGGGAGGAAGGUGGGGAUGACGUCAAGUCAGUAUGGCCCUUAUGUCCUGGGCUGCACACGUGCUACAAUGGCCGGUACGGUGGGAUGCAAUACCGCGAGGUGGAGCCAAUCCCCAAAGCCGGCCCCAGUUCGGAUUGGAGUCUGCAAUUCGACUCCAUGAAGUCGGAUUCGCUAGUAAUGGCGCAUCAGCUACGGCGCCGUGAAUACGUUCCCGGGCCUUGUACACACCGCCCGUCACAUCAUGAAAGCCUUCUGCACCCGAAGUCGCUGCUUCAACUCAUGUUUAGUGAGAGAAAGGCGCCGAAGGUGUGGGGGGUGAUUGGGAUGAAGUCGAAACAAGGUA
rnacentral:rRNA from 1 species